GACGAACGCUGGCGGCGUGCUUAACACAUGCAAGUCGAACGGAAAGGCCCUGCUUUUGUGGGGUGCUCGAGUGGCGAACGGGUGAGUAACACGUGAGUAACCUGCCCUUGACUUUGGGAUAACUUCAGGAAACUGGGGCUAAUACCGGAUAGGAGCUCCUGCUGCAUGGUGGGGGUUGGAAAGUUUCGGCGGUUGGGGAUGGACUCGCGGCUUAUCAGCUUGUUGGUGGGGUAGUGGCUUACCAAGGCUUUGACGGGUAGCCGGCCUGAGAGGGUGACCGGCCACAUUGGGACUGAGAUACGGACCAGACGCAUACGGGAGGCAGCAGUGGGGAAUAGUGCACAAUGGGCGGAAGCCUGAUGCAGCAAAGCCGCGUGCGGGAUGACGGCCUUCGGGGUGUAAACCGCUUUCGCCUGUGACGAAGCGUGAGUGACGGUAAUGGGUAAAGAAGCACCGGCUAACUACGUG
rnacentral:rRNA from 1 species